UCAGACGAUGCGUCAUGCAUAUCAAUAAGCGGAGGAAAAGAAACUAACAAGGAUUCCCCUAGUAACGGCGAGUGAAGCGGGAAGAGCUCAAAUUUGAAAUCUUAAAGGGUUUCCCUUUACGAAUUGUAGUUUAAAGAAGUGUUUUCUGUUGAGGUUUUGGUAAAAGUUCUUUGGAAUAGGACAUCAUAGAGGGUGAGAAUCCCGUAUUUGACCUUUACUUUCAACUUUGUGAUACACUUUCAAAGAGUCGGAUUGUUUGGGAAUGCAGUCCAAAAUGGGUGGUAAAUUUCAUCUAAAGCUAAAUAUUGGCGAGAGACCGAUAGCGAACAAGUACCGUGAGGGAAAGAUGAAAAGAACUUUGAAAAGAGAGUUAAACAGUACGUGAAAUUGUCAAAAGGGAAGCGUUUGACACCAGUGUUGUUUUUCUGAAAAUCAAUUAAAGAACUGUUUAUGCUAAGCUGUUUAGACUUUAUCAGCUAAUCUGUUUAGUUUUGAGCUUUUCUUUAAUGCACUUUUCAGUUAACAAGUCAACAUCAAUUUCUUUUGCUGUAAAAAAGCUUGAGGAAGGUGGCUUGAGAUUCGUCUUAAGUGUUUAUAGCCUCUUGCCUAUGCAGUCGGAGAGAUUGAGGUCUGCAGCGUAGAUCCUUCGGGGCUAAAUGCAUUUGUGCUAGGUUAUAGCAUUUUAUAGACAACUUGUUGACUAUGAUUUGUCUUGUAGCUUACUCGCUUAUGUUAUUUUACCUACGCUUAGGAUGUUGAAUCUGUGCGAGACUAC
rnacentral:rRNA from 1 species